rnacentral:rRNA from 1 species
UACAGAGGGGGCAAGCGUUGUUCGGAAUUACUGGGCGUAAAGGGCGCGUAGGCGGCCUGCUAAGUCGAACGUGAAAUCCCUGGGCUCAACCCAGGAACUGCGUCCGAUACUGGUUGGCUUGAAUCCGGGAGAGGGAUGUGGAAUUCCAGGUGUAGCGGUGAAAUGCGUAGAUAUCUGGAGGAACACCGGUGGCGAAGGCGGAUCUCUGGGCCUGUUCUGACGCUGAGGCGCGAAAGCUAGGGGAGCGAACAGG